AGAAUCAACGCUGGCGGCGUGCCUAACACAUGCAAGUCGAUCGAGAAAGUGGAGCAAUCCAUGAGUAAAGAGGCGCACGGGUGAGUAACACGUGACUAACCUACCUUCGAGUGGGGAAUAACCUGGGGAAACCCGGGCUAAUACCGCAUAAUACCUACGGGUCAAAGGAGCAAUUCGCUUGAAGAGGGGUCGCGGCAGAUUAGUUAGUUGGCGGGGUAAUGGCCCACCAAGACGAUGAUCUGUA
rnacentral:rRNA from 1 species